rnacentral:misc_RNA from 1 species
GAUGAAGAACGCAGCGAAAUGCGAUAAGUAGUGUGAAUUGCAGAAUUCAGUGAAUCAUCGAAUCUUUGAACGCACAUUGCGCCCUUUGGUAUUCCUUAGGGCAUGCCUGUUCGAGCGUCAUUUAAACCUUCAAGCUCAGCUUGGUGUUGGGUGACUGUCCGCUUCACCGCGGACUCGCCUCAAAAUUAUUGGCGGCCGGUACAUUGGCUUCGAGCGCAGCAGAAACGCGAACUCGGGCCCGUCGUAUUGGCUCCCAGAAGCUAUCUUCACAAUUUUGACCUCGGAUCAGGUAGGGAUACCCGCUGAACUUAAGCAUAUCAAUAAGCGGCGGA